UAAUUCUAGAGCUAAUACAUGCUAAAAAUCCCGACCUCCGGAAGGGAUGUAUUUAUUAGAUAAAAAACCAAUGCCUUCGGGCUCCUUGGUGAUUCAUGAUAACUUAACGAAUCGCAUGGCCUUGCGCCGGCGAUGGUUCAUUCAAAUUUCUGCCCUAUCAACUUUCGAUGGUAGGAUAGUGGCCUACCAUGGUUUCAACGGGUAACGGGGAAUUAGGGUUCGAUUCCGGAGAGGGAGCCUGAGAAACGGCUACCACAUCCAAGGAAGGCAGCAGGCGCGCAAAUUACCCAAUCCCAAUCCGGGGAGGUAGUGACAAUAAAUACUGAUACAGGGCUCAAAAGGGUCUUGUAAUUGGAAUGAGUACAAUUUAAAUCCCUUAACGAGGAACAAUUGGAGGGCAAGUCUGGUGCCAGCAGCCGCGGUAAUUCCAGCUCCAAUAGCGUAUAUUAAAGUUGUUGCAGUUAAAAAGCUCGUAGUUGAACCUUGGGUCUGGCUGCCCGGUCCGCCUAACCGCGUGCACUGGUGCGGCCGGAUCUUUCCUUCUGGCUAACCUCAUGCCCUUCACUGGGUGUGCUGCCGAUCCAGGACUUUUACUUUGAAAAAAUUAGAGUGUUCAAAGCAGGCCUUUGCUCGAAUACAUUAGCAUGGAAUAAUAGAAUAGGACGGCGGUCUAUUUUGUUGGUUUCUAGAGCCACCGUAAUGAUUAAUAGGGAUAGUCGGGGCAUCAGUAUUCAAUUG
rnacentral:rRNA from 1 species